rnacentral:lncRNA from 1 species
GCGUGUAACUGCUUCUAUUCGAGACAUUUAUAUACUACAAACCACCCCUCAUGGCGCAAGCUUCCUAUACUUAAAUCAACUUUGUAUUAAAUAACAUUACUAUAUUUUUUUUAAAAAGGGAAGGAAAAUCCGCCUUAUUAGAAAUAGCUGUAACAUCAAUAUCACCACAAUGGUGUAGCCUUUCAUGUAGCAUCAGCUAGGGGGUAGUUAUCAUGUCAAGUUCGGUUUUUAACAAACCUGAACUCAGACUUAUUGAGAUUUUGGGCCUGAAUUCUAUUGUAUACUCAGUCUGUUGAAAGAUUAGGUCAGGUCUAUUAGGAAAUAUGCCUUAAGAUUCGAUCUACAAAAAAUCCAGAAUGAGAUCUAAGAUGAUGAACGGAGUCCAACGAGCCCAAGAACAGUCUAAAUGGAGUCCAGAUGGAGA